rnacentral:lncRNA from 1 species
CCUAAGGUCACACAGCUACAAAGCAGCAGUACCAGAAUUUGAACUCAGGCUCUCUAACUCCAGACCCCCAGUUCUUUACAACUGUAUGGCAGAUAACUUAUGUUUUCCUUAGAACUUACAGUGAGGCACAAAACUGGCUGAAAUGGAGGAAUCAGCAAUCUCUGCCAAGGUUAUGUAGUUGUUCUUUUGGAGUAGAAGUUCUAAUUUUGGCUUACUGAAGACAUAGGGUAUAAUUCCUCAUCUUGAUCUAAUUAAUAUCCAGGGACCAGAAAUUCAAGUCAUCUUUGAUAUAAGAAACUUAUCAAACAGUGCCAUCCAAUGAGGAUAUUUUCUUGUCUACUUUCAAAAUUGAGUUGGGAGUUUCAGUUAUUAUUUAAAAUUUUUUUCACAAAUAUAGUUUUUUUUCAUAGAACACAGAUGCUCUUAACUCCCUAGCAGUCACCAUCUGUACCUCAAUUUACAUUUCCCAAAACACUGCUGACAUCUGUUUAAAUGCCAAUCUCUCCCCAACUUAGUAGGAUUUUAGCUCAAAAGUGAUAUCCUUUGAAUGAUUUGAAAUUUCAAAGUUAAAGUGAUUUUAAUCAAAAUGCUCAAUGGCUACAGGUAUCCAGGCUGUAUCUGUCCCUUUGAGAAGGUUUCCACAAAAUGGAGGCUAAUAUUAAUAGUGAUCUGUCAUUUCCAGGGGAAUGUGGGACCAUUUUGCCAGGUUAGACUUUUCAUCAAUGGGAAAAGGAAGGGAGAGGUUCUGAGUUGUCAGGGAGAGAAUUCUGGGUGAUUAGGAGUUCUCCCAAAGAAUCAUUGCCCUAGAUUCCUUUCUGUAGGUUGAUGCUCCUUUUAUACAGAGAUGUCUGACUUUCUUCAGCAAAUCAUUAUGUGAGAGGAGGCAUAGAACAUACGUCUGGGGAUAGACUCAGCGUGGAAAUGGGGCUGAAGGCUGGUUGAACAGUGGGACUGAGAGAGAAGCAUGAGUUGUGGGAAACUGAUUUUUUUUUUUAAAGAACAUAUAGAAAUUAUGCCCCUAAAUGAGUGAUGCUCCUUCCUAAUGGGCACCUGGGGAAACUAUAAACUUAAUCUAAUGGUUCCAUAAUUAUUCAAAACAUUCAAGUAGUUACUUUGAAGUCAAGGGCACAUUUGUUUUGGAAAUUCUCAAUGAUGUUAAAUCUUUAUUUGAGAGAAAAUUCGAUUUUUGGACAAAUCCAAAAGUCAUCUGGAAUGUAGUUUUGUUAUAAAGUGGGUUUUGGGGGGCAAUUUUUCCUAAGUGGUUCACAAAGGGAUUCCAAGAAGGCAGUUUCAUAAGAUGAUUUUAGAGAAAUCGUAAACAAUGGAAGCAUCAGGAGACUAGGUAUGUAAUCCCUUGAGAAGAAUUCUUCAUUUGGAAGUAUAAAUUUGGUCUUGUUUGUGUUUUGGAAUCAGACAGAUCUGGGCUUUGGAUCUGACUUCAUAUAUAUUUCAAGAUAUGUGACCUGAGUUACUUAACCAUGUUAAGCCUCAGUUAGUUUUGUCUCCUGUGAAAUAGAGAUAAUUAUAGUAUCUACCUCCUGGCCUUGUGGGGAUUAAAGAGGGCAAUGUAUGUAAAGUGCUUUGCCCAGCACCUGGCAUAUAAUAUAGAAGGCACUCAAUAAAGUGGUUGAUAUAUGGAUUCUAAUCUCCUAGGAUGCAGUGUGAUGUAUCAGAAGGACUUGGAGCCAUGUUCUACCACUUAUUUGGCUAUAAUGGUCCUAAGAAAGCCAUUAAUUUGUAGGGUCCUACUUCCUUCUUUGCAAAGUUUAGCCCUUGGGAAGGCAUUUUACCACCAAUAAAUCCCUACCUUUGUAAAACCCUAACAACACAGAGGUUUUAGAGAGUAUAAGGAGAGAGAAGGAACGGUUUAAAUCAACCUCUCGAGAGACUGAGGAAUGAACGGUGGAGACCAGCUGUGAGAGAGAUGGUUCUAACAUGGAAAAAUGAAUCAAAGUCUUGAAUACAUCAUCCAAGUUGUAUUCUAAGAUGGCCCUGUGCACUCUCACUAUUAGAAGAAUUUAAGACAAGCCAGAAAUGAGGUGGGUAACCGUAGCUAAAGUAGACCAAAUACUGAAAAGAAAAUUAAAUUCAAAUAUUUUCACGUGUCAGCCACUGUUCGUGUUCUGAUUCAGUGGUUGGCAUUUCUAACAUAGGAUCUGAAUCAAGAGCUUCUAACAGGAGAAAAUUAAACACAGCUUUAUAACAUGUGUACAUGGGAGAGGCUCAGGCAACCUGAGCAACUCGCCAAAAUGGCUGAAGCCACCACCUUAAAUAUCAUCUGCUAAAGGCGAAGGAGGAUGUUGGGGGUGGGGGAAGUCGAUCAUGGGAGAUUACCACACAAGUACAGUAAACAAGAGUCAGGUUGUUAUGCAGACUUGAGUCCUUGCCUUCCACAUUGAUAAGAGUUUCUACAGAUAAGGUACAGAGAGGGAGACACCUUUACAGAUGGAGAUUUCCUUUACAAUGUAAAUGUCGCUUAACAAAGGGUAAGUAAAUUCUGCUUUUCAGAGCUUCUUUCCUGUCUGCAGUUUUUAAAAGUAACCAGCCCAAGAUAAUCCUCAGGCCAAAGAGACAUAUCUUGGGGUGGCCAAUUCCAGUCCCCCACACCUCCUUUGAAAAAUUGAGAUGGAAAUCCCUAGUCAGAGACUGAUUACCACUCAUUUGCUGAUUAUGAGCAGUAUCCUCUCAAAGAAAAGUAAUGCAUUUCCAUGUUUCAUGCUACAGGUCUUGUCUGAAGGUAUGUUUCAGAGAGGGGUGCAAAGGAUUCCUAUAAUUUUGACUCUGACGAGAAUGCUGUGGUCAUUCUCUGAAGUCUCUUUCUCUGAGUUCCAGUUUGCUUCUGCUCUAGCCUUGGCCUUUGUAGGGGAUGGUGAGGAGGACGGACGUGGGGACCAGGAAGGACUUCUUCAAGCCUGGCACGUGCCUCAGUCAGAGUUGCUGGGCCUAACUCUGGACCAUUUCCUCUGAAAUGAAUCCAGGGAAGUAGUCCGGACAGUUGGAGACAUAAGUACAGUCAGGGCAAGUGUUCCUACCUUUGUCAUUACCAAGGCACUUUUAGAAAUUUGUUUCCUACUCUCAGAGAUUUGACACUUUAACAAUUUUAUUUACCAAAUAGUAUUUAUCAAGUAAUAAUUGCUUUGUUUUUCUUUAUUAAGAUAAACUGGGGAUAACUGCCAAUCAGAGUUUUUGAUUGACAUAUGAUAACCGUGUUAUUGAUUUGAUCUAAUGCCAUAAAAAUUAAACAAAUGAAAAUGAAAGAAAACCUGGUAUAUAUAUUUAUGUUUAUUUUAGUUAUAUGUGUGUUUUCCAUUAGGCUUUCAAAAUAUUAAAUAUAAUUCACAG